GCUCUCUUGAAAAUAUGUAAUCCAAGACUCUCAUCUAUUUAAACCUUCUCGACGUACCAUCUACCUUCAUUUUGGAUUUCGUCGGAGGUGGAAUUGGUGAGAGUUAGCUUAAAAUAUUAAAAUUAGUCAGAAACGUGCUUUGGAUGGCCUGUUGCUGAUCAAGUUUAGUUUCGGCUUGUUUGCAACUUUUCUGGGAAAAUAUGAAAGGAGUAAAUUUGCAAUACAUUCUAAUGAAUUUUCUUGAUAAUCUUGAUAAAAACAACGAAAAUGGUUGAAUAUGUAAUUUUGAUGAAUAACAUAAAUGAUAAUAACUAUGAUAUUUAUAACAUGAAUUGAGAAUAGAGCUUAAACUUUGGAGAAAAAUAGUAUUAAAAAGGAAAAAAUGCAUUGUGCGUGCAUCUAUGAAAAUAAGGUGUUAAUCACGGAGGCAUUUUUGAAAGAUCAAAGAGGUCUCGCAAUAUCAUGGAGUACAUCUUUCUAAAUAAGGUAUGUUGUAGAGAGAUUAAUUACGCAUUAUAAUGGAAAUAAAUAAUAAAAAGAUGAACGUGGAAAAGAAGAGUUAAAUGCUAAUACAAAUUUGUUUUUAAGAUAAUUCAGUGACAUAUAUUUAUCUUUCUAAUUUCUUAACCAAAAAUUUUUAACUUUUUGUGUAUAUUUUUUACAAUUUCUUGAAGAGGACUGAUAAAAAUUAUAAUUAAUAGAUUAAUAAAAAUAUUU